GACGAACGCUGGCGGCGUGCUUAACACAUGCAAGUCGAACGGAAAGGCCCUGCUCUUGUGGGGUGCUCGAGUGGCGAACGGGUGAGUAACACGUGAGUAACCUGCCCUUGACUUUGGGAUAACUUCAGGAAACUGGGGCUAAUACCGGAUAGGAGCUCCUGCUGCAUGGUGGGGGUUGGAAAGUUUCGGCGGUUGGGGAUGGACUCGCGGCUUAUCAGCUUGUUGGUGGGGUAGUGGCUUACCAAGGCUUUGACGGGUAGCCGGCCUGAGAGGGUGACCGGCCACAUUGGGACGGGGAUACGGCCCAGACUCCUACGGGAGGCAGCAGUGGGGAAUAGUGCACAAUGGGCGGAAGCCUGAUGCAGCAACGCCGCGUGCGGGAUGACGGCCUUCGGGUUGUAAACCGCUUUCGCCUGUGACGAAGCGUGAGUGACGGUAAUGGGUAAAGAAGCACCGGCUAACUACGUG
rnacentral:rRNA from 1 species